rnacentral:rRNA from 1 species
UGCAGCAGGCGCGAAAACUUUACAAUGCGGGAAACCGUGAUAAGGGAACCUCGAGUGCCUGUAUAUGCAGGCUGUCCAGGUGUCUAAAAAACACCUGAAGAAAGGGCCGGGCAAGACCGGUGCCAGCCGCCGCGGUAAUACCGGCGGCUCGAGUGGUGGCCACUUUUAUUGGGCUUAAAGCGUUCGUAGCUGGGUUGUUAAGUCUCUUGGGAAAUCUGACGGCUCAACCGUCAGGCGUCCAAGGGAUACUGGCAAUCUUGGAACCGGGAGAGGUGAGGGGUACUUCGGGGGUAGGAGUGAAAUCCUGUAAUCCUCGAGGGACCACCUGUGGCGAAGGCGCCUCACCAGAAC